rnacentral:rRNA from 1 species
UAGGGAAUCUUCGUCAAUGGACGGAAGUCUGACCGAGCAACGCCGCGUGAGUGAAGAAGGUUUUCGGAUCGUAAAGCUCUGUUGUAAGAGAAGAACGAGUGUGAGAGUGGAAAGUUCACACUGUGACGGUAUCUUACCAGAAAGGGACGGCUAACUACGUGCCAGCAGCCGCGGUAAUACGUAGGUCCCGAGCGUUGUCCGGAUUUAUUGGGCGUAAAGCGAGCGCAGGCGGUUAGAUAAGUCUGAAGUUAAAGGCUGUGGCUUAACCAUAGUACGCUUUGGAAACUGUUUAACUUGAGUGCAAGAGGGGAGAGUGGAAUUCCAUGUGUAGCGGUGAAAUGCGUAGAUAUAUGGAGGAACACCGGUGGCGAAAGCGGCUCUCUGGCUUGUAACUGACGCUGAGGCUCGAAAGCGUGGGGAGCAAACAGGAUUAGAUACCCUGGUAGUCCACGCCGUAAACGAUGAGUGCUAGGUGUUAGACCCUUUCCGGGGUUUAGUGCCGCAGCUAACGCAUUAAGCACUCCGCCUGGGGAGUACGACCGCAAGGUUG